AUUUUUGUUUACAUAAAUAAGGCCGUUAGUUUUCUCGUUUAAAUUGUUUUACAUUGUCUUAUCGGGGCCUUUUAUAGCUGACUAUGCGGUAUGGGCUUUGCUCAUUGUCGAAGGCCGUACGGUGACCUAUAGUUGUUAAUGUCUGUGUCAUUUUGGUCUUUUGUGGAUAGUUGUCUCAUUGACAAUGAUACCACAUCUUCUUUUUUAUAUUAAAUUUGUGUUUUUUCUUUAAAAAAAA
rnacentral:lncRNA from 1 species